GGUCUAGUAAUACUACUGCACGAAUUUUGGCUCCCGGAUUUGUCAAAAGAUUCGAUAAAUCCGGAUUUAAAAGCGGAUUUGAUUUAGGUCCAGGAAAACAAAUCCGGAUUUAAAAGGAUUUGAUUUAACGUGUCAAAAUUAAAUCCGGACUUGAUUUGGAUUUGAUUUACUACCUUCAGAAAAAAUGCGGAUUUGAUUUAAAUCCGAUUUGAGCGGCCAAAUCCGCAACACUGGUCUAGACACAGUCAGUGAUCAGACUUACGUGGUAUGUAAAUGUAGAGAUGUAUUGAUUAUUUCUUUCUGCUCAGUGUAUGCUUUUAGCAGAAUAAACGGUAAUUACUUGAGCAAUAUGUGCAUUUCUACGCAUUAUUUUCGGUCAUGCAUUCAGUGGUCCCAGCUGCUAAGUGGCCGGAUCCCGGACCACUUAGCAGAGGGGACCACUGGAUCAAUUCCACUGGUUCCACUUCAAGUGGGACCAUCGUGAAGCUGGUUCCACUUUCGACUGGUCCCAGUCACUAAGUGGUCCCACACUCAAAGUGGGACCUGUCCAAUAAACCACUUUGAAGUGGUCCCACUCCAGAUUUUUGCCUGGGCGUGAAUGAUGCGUUCACUGUGCAACGGUCGCUUGCUUAGCGGCUUGCCUGUGCAACGCAUUUUUGCUCGUUAUUAGCGUGAUGUGUGACACAGGCGUUGGUUUUAUAAUCGAAAGGAUUUGUCUGUAAGUUACGACAGUGCGACAGUACAAUGAGCGCCAGCGGCCGGGCGGGCGGGUGUUAUAGGAUUACAGCUGGACUACAACUGUGGAUACCGCUUUAUCGUGAGUACUAUGCUUAAGUGCUUUUCCCUUGUGCACCAUUUAGAAAUAUUCUACUAGAACCUCAUCUCUUUGUUCCGCGUCAGGUUCGUGGCACCUGUAAGUGCAUGCCGUUUUACGAGUAACACGUACGAGUAGCUAGUUAACGUUACCAGCAACUUGUUUCAUUCUCGUGUUUCUGUCUUUGUAUUUCUUCGUUCAUGCUCGUGUUUUAGAUCCUUCACACCACGGGUGUUCUCGAACUAGCGUAGAACUAAGAGCUUCGCCGGCUUUCGGGGGCAAUGAGUAGUACUCAUUGCCCCCGAAAGCCGGCGAAUCUCUUAGUUGAUAUGUCCAACUACUCCACAACAGAAAGGUUGAGAGAUUUGCGUGCUUUUUGGGGCCACGACUGCUCAAAUUAACUGCACACUUUAAUUACAUGUUGCAAUUGAAUGCAUAUUUACUUGUGCCUUUUCAACUUUCCAGAGACCUUAAGCUACUUGGGCUCAAAGGAAAAUGUCGAUCCAUCGUGUGCUAUUAAGAACAUCUCACAUACUUUGUUGAAUGAUUCAAGAUGACCACAAGGUAGUCGAGCAAGGGACCCAUCAGCCAUGAAAUAUUAUCUAUUCCAUGUAACUCUGUAGUUCCUCUACUGCUUUUGUUUAAUUACAUUAUAGUUACGCUACAUGUACAUUAGAAUAUGUGCAAUGUUUGAUUACAAAUAAAAUGUAAUUUUGCAUUGCAGUUCUUUGGAUCUGUCGUUGCUGGGAACAGCGAUCCUGCGAAGUGGCACUGGUUGGCUACCAGCUAGCCUCUGUCCGAGCAGGCCACUCAGAGAUGGUCACUUCUGGGCACACCAUCCUUCCUGGCCAAGUCGUGUGGAAAGGCAUCCAAGACACCCUUGGCCUUGGACCACUUUCUGGAAGAAGAUCCAGGAGGGGGCAUCUCUUUUGCAUGGUUUCUCGUGAUACUGAGGGUAUACUGUGGAUCAGCCCUGCAGGGGCAGCAAGCUGAAGAACAAAGCCAGAACCUAUGAAGAAGUUCUGGAGAUUGUGUCGAAAACAGCACAAGUAUUCAACAGAUGUCACAGAUUUUUCACCAUUUCUCUGUAUGUACAAUAAAUGCUCAGUCCUGUACUCUA